GGCCGGGCGCGGUGGCUCACGCCUGUAAUCCCAGCUCUCAGGGAGGCAAGAGGCGGGAGGAUAGCUUGAGCCCAGGAGUUCGAGACCUGCCUGGGCAAUAUAGCGAGACCCCGUUCUCCCGAAAAAGAAAAAAAAAAAAAAAAAAAAAAGACAAAAAAAAAAUAAGCGUAACUCCCCUCAAAGCAACAACCCCCCCCCCCUUU
rnacentral:scRNA from 1 species